AUAUAUAUAUAUAUAUAUAUAUAUAUAUAUAUAUAUAUAUAUAUAUAUAUAUAUAUAUAUAUAUAUAUAUAUAUAUAUAUAUAUAUAUCGCUUGUCGGUGGUUUUAACUCCACAUGCGCACCUUGCUAACCGUUUCACGCAUUUCCUUACCACCUAUUUUUUUUUUAUUAUUUAUUUAUUUAUUUAUUUAUUUUUUUUUCCAUAUCUCCAUAUGGUCAUUCUGGUAACUGUACAAUGUUCAUUUUUAUCCUCGGGUAUCGCGCUCCUUUUUUUUUUUUUUUUUCUCUCGGCCACUGAGGUUCAUUUAUUUGCUUCAUCGCUGAUGUCUCGACACUCUCUACGGAAGUGGUUUAGUGAUCAAGCUGCGAGGCUUCGAUGACACGUCUAAAGACGAACCCUUCCUUAGUGUGAUUUUCCCUCAGCUGCCUGAAACUGUCUCGAAACUACACGAGGUUCGGCUCAAAGGACUUCUCGGGCGUAAUUCCAAAAAGUUUCGGUCUCUAAAGAAACCUUGUCCCCCGACGUGGCCUAGAUAUUGCCAAUUUUAGCUCAAUUUUCAGAAACUUAGCGCUUACAUUUUUCUUAAUACAGAAGUUUCACAUUUUUCCAUUUACUCUUUUUUGUAUCUCGCUUAUAUUAACUCCCCUCCGCCAUUGCUUCCGCGCUUUACCAUGCAGCCCUUUCUCUCUCCCCUCAUCACUCUCCCACCUCCCGCCUUUACGCCAUCCACCACAUCUUCCACUAACCCUUUCCCUGUACCGCCAGUCCAUCCUGCGCGUAUACACCUAUUUAACACUUCACCUUUUGCCUUAUUUUCAUCGUCUUUCCAUUUCCACAGGGCAACUUUUUAUAUCUCCUUUCCUCGCCUCUUACUUUCCACUUCGAGGUUCUUAUCACGGUAAAGUUGCUGACCGCCCUCGUAUUCGCGCCGUGCUGGACUUGCCGUGAAAGCUCCGGCGUGCUCUCAUAUGUUCUUGUGCAGUGAUUCGAAGAAGGUGCUGAAAACAGUCGUUAAUGGGAAAUAUGACGUCGGAAGAGAAAGUGUCGAAGCGAAACUUUAUCGAAUCAAAAAAAAAAAAAAACGUCAAUUUCGAGGGAAAGAGAAAAGAGAAGUAAAUUACCAUACGUUAUUAAGAACACUCGGAAGAUUAUGGGCAUUGCAGGAAUUCUAAAGAGCAUUUCGUGACGCGCUGUUGGUUUGCAAGUGGUAUUCCUAGGAACCACUGAAGCUUCUCAUCACACUCAUAAGAAUUCAAGGAAAGGAAACGGGUGGUGUAUGUUGAAGAUCUAUCCACCGUCACCACACACAUGUCAGUGCCGCCCCCACCCUCGCCGUCAGCGCCCGUGCGGGAUGCAUUGCGAGCGUGAAGGGACAAGGGGCGCUCCUCUCAUGCCUCCCAGGAACUUUCGAAAAAAGACAUUAAACAAAGGACUAAAGGAAACGAGCAAGUGAUAAAAUGUCAGCCUACAACAGGAACCAGAGCCCCGGUGAGGGAAGGGGGAGUCAACUAGCGGGGUUCAUCUGUGGUCAGGCCUCCCCAGUGCGCGGAGUCAGGGUGGAACAGCUCAAUCUAAAGGCAAUCCUGAGAAUUCGAACUAUUUACAUAUAUAUAGAUAUAUAUAUAUAUGUUAUAAUGUUUCUUGAGGAGACUACCAAAUGUCAAGCAUAUAUUUUUUACAUGUUGUUGGCAUAAUAAAAACUACCAAAGC